UACGAAGGGGGCUAGCGUUGCUCGGAAUCACUGGGCGUAAAGGGUGCGUAGGCGGGUUCGUAAGUCAGGUGUGAAACCUCCAGGCUCAACCUGGAGCCGCCACCUGAUACUGCGAUGGCUUGAGUCCAGUAGGGGCGCGCGGAAUUCCGUGGAUGUAGCGGUGAAAUGCGCAGAUAUCAGGAGGAACACCGGCUGGCGGAAGGCGGCGCGCUGGGCUGGAACUGACGCUGGAGGAAGCGAAAGCGUGGGUAGCAAACAGG
rnacentral:rRNA from 1 species